rnacentral:rRNA from 1 species
AGAGUUUGAUCAUGGCUCAGGACGAACGCUGGCGGCGCGCCUAACACAUGCAAGUCGAACGGAGUUAUGUUGGUUGAAGUUUUCGGAUGGAUACCGACAUAACUUAGUGGCGAACGGGUGAGUAACGCGUGAGUAACCUGCCCUGGAGUGGGGGACAACAGUUGGAAACGACUGCUAAUACCGCAUAAGCCCACGAUCCGGCAUCGGAUUGAGGGAAAAGGAUUUAUUCGCUUCAGGAUGGACUCGCGUCCAAUUAGCUAGUUGGUGAGGUAACGGCCCACCAAGGCGACGAUUGGUAGCCGGACUGAGAGGUUGAACGGCCACAUUGGGACUGAGACACGGCCCAGACUCCUACGGGAGGCAGCAGUGGGGGAUAUUGCACAAUGGAGGAAACUCUGAUGCAGCGACGCCGCGUGAGGGAAGACGGUCUUCGGAUUGUAAACCUCUGUCUUUAGGGACGAAAAAAUGACGGUACCUAAGGAGGAAGCCACGGCUAACUACGUGCCAGCAGCCGCGGUAAUACGUAGGUGGCGAGCGUUGUCCGG